CUAUUUAGAUUCACACUAGCUCCAUAAGAGCUAGUGCGGGUACGUCUUCAUGAGCUAGGAAUCACACCCCAAGCUUGUAGCGUUGACCUAGCCUAAAAGUUCUGUAGUUCAUUCUGACGUGAAACAGCAGUAGGCCAUCAUAGCAUCUUAGUGAACUUUUAGUGCUCAGAACAGAGUCCACAGGGUCACUUAGUGUGCACCAGGCUGCCGCGCUGUAUAUUCACACCCCAGCUUGCCGCACACAAAGUCUCUAUAGACUCUAGCCCUGACAGUAAAUGCCUGCCAUAGAAAUACAACUAUUAUUACACCAGAGAGUGAAGCACAAGUUAGCCAUGGAAGUGGGGACAAAGGCGAGAAGGAAGUGAGAUGCUCUGUAGCAAAGAGAAGCAACUUGUCAUUCUGUUUGGUAGUUUGGUGUGUCUAAGUGAGUGAUCAGUGCCACAAGCAGUAUCAAGCACUCUCAGUAGGCUGGAAUUCCAUCAGUAUCAGAGGGGUGUGAGUCUGUAUCCACAAAAACAACAAGGCGUUGUUCCAUCAGUGACACCUAUUGUAUGGGCUGGCUAUGGAAUCUGUUGAAUGCCCGAGGUCACCAUCAAUGAGGGAAUAUACAGCAAUGAGUUCACCCUUUCUGCUAUAUAGCAUUAAAGGAAUCUGCUCAGAAAUGUUAUCUUCACAGCCCAUGCACAGACAUGCCUCAGAACUGCUUCUUGCAAUUUCAGCACCAGACAGGUUUGCAUUAAAAAAAAAAAGCGAUCAAGAACUAGGUGUGUAUUUGAAGACCAAGAACCUUAUUCUAAUAGAAGCUGCAAGAUUAUAGACAAAACGAUUAUGCCCCAUGUGCAGUUGUCAAACUUUUUUCCAUUACCAAUAUAUGUUGGGACGACUGAAGCACCCUAUGCUGUCACGCACCAUUGCAUGCAGGUAUAAAAAAGUGGAGACCUCCCUCAGUUCCUUCCCAGCGGAUAGACUCCAUUGAAGAGGAGCAGAAGGGCAAGUCAUGGAAUGGACAUGUGAACACAUCUUGAAGAACAACAGCUAUGGAAAGGUCCACCUGGGGAGUUCCCCAGAGCUAGAAGUUGGAUCUGGCGAUAUCUGAAUGCAAUGACCACUCGUGGUGAUUGGAGAAAGACUUGCUUAGCUGAUCCACCAAGGUAUUCUGCCUCCUUGGAAGAGCCGGAGGACAUUACUGUUUCCUAGUGAGGACACAGUCUGGAGGUGGCAAUGGUGUCUGUAAGUUAGUAUAUUUGAUACCGAAGUGGCAAGAGUACAAGCUCCGGGUCUCAGCAGCAACAACCAGAAAAUUACAUUUGUUUUCUAGCUGAGUGGAACAGAAAAAUGACUCACCUGGAUUAAAAGGGCCAUUUGCUUUUUGCAGCCUCACUGCAUCCACUAGCCUUAGGCACAGAAUUAUUCUGCACCAGCCUUAAGAAGCCCUCAAUGUUCCUCCUCAUCUCCUUUCCUACCAGCCAAAAGAGCCCCCAGCAAGUCAUCUAGUCUCCCUUCCUAGCUGCCCAGCCCAUCUCCGGUCUCUCUCUUCCCCAGAUGGCUUCUAUCAGCUCCAUGGUCAUCACACACCUCAUCAGCCUCCUACU